rnacentral:rRNA from 1 species
AUUGAACGCUGGCGGCAGGCCUAACACAUGCAAGUCGAGCGAGCGGCGGACGGGUGAGUAAUGUCUGGGAAACUGCCUGAUGGAGGGGGAUAACUACUGGAAACGGUAGCUAAUACCGCAUACCAUCAGAUGUGCCCAGAUGGGAUUAGCUAGUAGGUGGGGUAACGGCUCACCUAGGCGACGAUCCCUAGCUGGUCUGAGAGGAUGACCAGCCAGACGGGAACUGAGACACGGUCUCGACUCAUACGGGAGUCAGCGGUGGGGAGUAGUACAUAAUGGGCGCAGGCCUGAUGCAGCCUGGCCGCGGGGGUGAAGAAGGCCUUAGGGUUGUAAAGCACUUUCAGCGGGGAGGCGUGACCCGCAGAAGAAGCACCGGCUAACUCCGUGCCAGCAGACGCGGUAAUUC